rnacentral:rRNA from 1 species
AGCAUAUCAAUAAGCGGAGGAAAAGAAACUAACAAGGAUUCCCCUAGUAACUGCGAGUGAAGCGGGAAAAGCUCAAAUUUAAAAUCUGGUGGUCUUUUGGCCAUCCGAGUUGUAAUUUAGAGAAGCGUCUUCCGCGCCGGACCGUGCACAAGUCUCCUGGAAUGGAGCGUCAUAGAGGGUGAGAAUCCCGUCUUUGGCAUGGACACCCGGGGCUUCUGUGAUGCGCUCUCGAAGAGUCGAGUUGUUUGGGAAUGCAGCUCAAAAUGGGUGGUGAACUCCAUCUAAAGCUAAAUAUUGGCGAGAGACCGAUAGCGAACAAGUACCGUGAGGGAAAGAUGAAAAGCACUUUGGAAAGAGAGUGAAACAGUACGUGAAAUUGUUGAAAGGGAAACGCUUGAAGUCAGUCGCGUCGACCGAGACUCAGCCUUGCCCCUUGGCUUGGUGUACUUCUCGGCUGACGGGUCAGCAUCAAUUUCAUCCCUCAGAUAAUGGCAAGGGAAAGGUGGCACCUUCACCGGUGUGUUAUAGUCUCCUGUCGCAUGUGAGGGGUGGGAUUGAGGAACUCAGCAUGCACCUUUUGGUGUCGGGGCCGUGAGGCUCACGUUAACGUGCUUAGGAUGCUGGCAUAAUGGCUUUAAAUGACCCGUCUUGAAACACGGACCAAGGAGUCUAACAUGCCCGCGAGUGUUUGGGUGGAAAACCCAUGCGCGUAAUGAAAGUGAAAGUUGGGACCUCUGUCGUGGAGGGCACCGAUGCCCGGACCAGACCUUCUGUGACGGUUCUGCGGUAGAGCGUGCAUGUUGGGACCCGAAAGAUGGUGAACUAUGCCUGAAUAGGGUGAAGCCAGAGGAAACUCUGGUGGAGGCUCGUAGCGAUUCUGACGUGCAAAUCGAUCGUCAAAUUUGGGUAUAGGGGCGAAAGACUAAUCGAACCAUCUAGUAGCUGGUCCGC